rnacentral:rRNA from 1 species
AUUGAACGCUGGCGGCAGGCCUAACACAUGCAAGUCGGACGGUAGCACAGAGAGCUUGCUCUCGGGUGACGAGUGGCGGACGGGUGAGUAAUGUCUGGGGAUCUGCCCGAUAGAGGGGGAUAACCACUGGAAACGGUGGCUAAUACCGCAUAACGUCGCAAGACCAAAGAGGGGGACCUUCGGGCCUCUCACUAUCGGAUGAACCCAGAUGGGAUUAGCUAGUAGGCGGGGUAACGGCCCACCUAGGCGACGAUCCCUAGCUGGUCUGAGAGGAUGACCAGCCACACUGGAACUGAGACACGGUCCAGACUCCUACGGGAGGCAGCAGUGGGGAAUACUGCACAAUGGGCGCAGGCCUGAUGCAUCCAUGCCGCGUGUAUGAAGAAGGCCUUCGGGUUGUAAAGUACUUUCAGCGGGGAGGAAGGCGAUGUGGUUAAUAACCGCAUUGAUUGACGUUACCCGCAGAAGAAGCACCGGCUAACUCCGUGCCAGCCGCCGCCGCAG